rnacentral:rRNA from 1 species
UACGUAGGGUCCGAGCGUUGUCCGGAAUUACUGGGCGUAAAGAGCUCGUAGGCGGCUUGUCGCGUCGACUGUGAAAACCCGCGGCUCAACCGCGGGCCUUGCAGCCGGAUACGGGCAGGCUGGAGUUCGGUAGGGGAGAACUUGGAAUUCCUGGUGUAGCGGUGAAAUGCGCAGAUAUCAGGAGGAACACCGAUGGCGAAGGCAGGUCUCUGGGCAUGACCUGACGUGAGGAGCGAAAGUGUGGGGAGCGAACAGG